rnacentral:rRNA from 1 species
UACGUAGGGGGCGAGCGUUGUCCGGAGUUACUGGGCGUAAAGCGCUUGUAGGCGGUCCACCAAGUUUGGGGUGACAGUUGUCGACUUAAUCGGCAAAGUGCCUCAAAGACUGGCGGACUUGAGGGCCACAGAGGGACAUGGAACUCCAGGUGUAGUGGUGAAAUGCGCAGAUAUCGGGAGGAACACCGGUGGCGAAGGCGGUUCUCUGGGCCUGUACUGACGCUGAGGAGCGAAAGCGUGGGGAGCGAACAGG